AACGAACGCUGGCGGCGUGUUUAAGACAUGCAAGUCGAACGGGUUGAAGUUGUGGCAAUACCGCUUCAACCAGUGGCGCACGGGUGCGUAACACGUGAGUUACAUGCCCUGCAGUGGGGAAUAGCCCGCCGAAAGGCGGAUUAAUACCCCAUGGUCCCGCAAGGGUAAAGGUGGCGCAAGCUGCCGCUGCAGGAUUGGCUCGCGGCCUAUCAGCUAGUUGGCGAGGUAACGGCUCACCAAGGCGACGACGGGUACCUGGUCUGAGAGGAUGAUCAGGCACACUGGAACUGAGACGCGGUCCAGACACCUACGGGUGGCAGCAGUCGAGAAUAAUUCACAAUGGGGGAAACCCUGAUGGUGCAACGCCGCGUGGAGGAUGAAGGUCUUCGGAUUGUAAACUCCUGUCAUCGGGGAGUAAGACCUGGGCGUGAAUAGCGCACAGGGUUGAUAGUACCCGAAGAGGAAGGGACGGCUAACUUCGUGCCAGCAGCCGCCGUAAGAC
rnacentral:rRNA from 1 species